CCUCCCCUCUGCCCUUCCUCCUCGCCCCUUCACAGGGAGCGGUGGGAGGGGACGGAGCGGGGCCGCGGCCCGCUCGCCUCCGCCAGCUGGAGGGGCGAAGCGCGGUAGCCGGGCUCCGUGCAGCUCGCUGAUGGGAGGCGGUAGCCUUGCCCGCCGUAGGCCUGCGGCCCCCGGGCCCCGCAGUGCCCGCCCUGGUAACGGGAGGGAUCGCGCUGCCGCCUCACAGCCGCGUUACUCCUGGCAAUGCCUUUGCACGUUGCUCGGGAGGAUUAACCUGCAAUUUACUGAACACCUGCUUAAAACCACGUCCAGGGUGCGGUUUAACCUUGUCCGAGGCUUGGUAUCUCGGGUCUCGUCUUUCUUCCUGGCACCGAGACGCUGGUUCUGCCAGUUAUGCUUCUUCCGAAGGGCUGUAGUGAUGUGCAGGCUCCCUUUUGAAAAUCUCUUCUCUAGAGUUUGCCUUGCAGUCGUUUUUGGAGAUCUCAGUCUCAAGAGGUUGAGGUGAUGUGGGGCACUCGGUCUCAACGAGCAUUUCUGCACUAGCAGUCUCAAGCUGAAAUAGCUUUUGAGCUUCUGAAUCCAUAUUGGCCUCUUUUCCUCGAGCGUGAGCAGCAAGGAGCUCAACAGCAACGGCAUUUAGGAGUGUAAAGUGCUUUUGGGUGUGCUGAGCAGGAGAAGGAACUGACUGGCUUUGCAGCCAUUGAGACUGGUGUUUAUACAUACACAUCAAAGGCAGUAUUGAAUAAAGGAAAGCUUGGACCAAAAAAAGAAUCCAGACCUGAGUUUUCCCAUGUGCUUGAGGAAGAGAGAAUGUAUGUUGGCAAGGAAAAGAAACUGGGGUUUUUAAUCUCACAGUACAAUAGAACUUCAUUGGCAUGAACAAAACAGUCCUAAAGUAAUAAUUGCUACAUGAUGCAAACUCCAGAGUCACCAGGAACUGUUUUGGGUGUUCCAGAUAUGGUCUGGUAAUGACUUUGGGGUCUAUUUAGACUGCUAUUUGCUAAAACAUUGUUUUGUCUGGCAUGUUGUGUCAGUUUGACUAGAUUUAGUUUAGGUUUAACUAACAUUGUAUGAGCACAUGGCUUAUUCCUGGUUUUAUUAACUUCUGUCUUUACCUUUUUAAACUUUUUUCUUAACAUAGGAAGAGUAGAAGGCUUUUCUGAUACAAUUUUUGAAGUUGCUUUGGUUCAGGCAAGUGAACAUACGUAUGUGAUUUAACUUUCUGAAUCAGGAUAUCCCCUUGUUGCAGUCUGUUUUCAAGCAUAAUUUGCCAACUUUGUGAUUAAAUUGACAGUAAAGACUUUAAAACAGUUUAAGUAUUAAUUUUAAUUUGUUAUAAUAUUUCUAAAAGGUGUAUCUGGAAUGGGCACUUUCCACGACUGAAGCCUCUUGACAUGUACGUUGAGCAUGUAAUGUAACAGGCAAAACACUCUCUUAUUUUUCUGUUAGCAUGUUCAGAUACAGAGGAGAAAAAUUUGUCAUGUAGAGGCCCCCCCACCCCCCAAGGUGAACUCUAAAAUGAGUGUUGUUCAAGGCUUGAUAUAUAUGUUGUUUUCAAAGAUUAACAUAUCUGUACCAGGAAUCAUUAACUGGAAAAUAAUUACAAAUGUUGGGGAAAUAAUAUUCAGGGCAUAUAUUUAGAAGAUUGUACUCAGGAUGAGAACAUAUGCUAUUCAUGUGUGUCUUCUAAAAAUAUUUUCACAUGCAAAUUUACACAGCCGUUGGCUGCUUACUUAUAACCAGAUUGUCACUGCGUGAUGGUCCCUGAGAAACUGAAUAUGGAGUGGGAGGUACCAACCGAAAACUUGUACUCUCAAGGUUUUGUUUCUCAGAUUUUAUGUUUACUUGGCAUUCCUCCUUCUUUUUCCAAAAACUAAUAAAAGAACAUUAAAGUUUAAACUCGCAAAGUGCCAUUCUUGGAAAUGUAAGAAGACAACAGUAACUGAUUAAUUAGAUGUAUACUUCUUUUUCUGUUUAAUGCUUAAAUAUGUUACUAAUGUUCUGUUGUUGAAUAUAUACCACAAGAAAGCUUACAGUCACAAUAAUCUCAAUUUUGAUAAUUUUGUGUAUAUGAAGUCAAGAUUACUGUGAUUGUAAACUUGCUUGCAUUUCAGAACUAAUUUUAAGUAUACAAACUACUAACAUUACUGAUUUUAAUGUGUACAUAGAGUAUCCUUCAGCUGUUGCAUCAUAGUGUUUCAGCCAGAGGGAGAUCUUUUUUGAGACAGAGGAUAUAAAAUCAGUAGCUAAAACAUGAGGCCAGGUUCUUUUUUUGUCAACUGCUACCUGUUUAAAUCUUUUUUUUCUUGAGUAAAAACCUCUUACAAGCUUUUUUUAUUACUUCCCCCGCCUCGUACUUUUCAAAAUAAAUGCUACAGUGUUUCCUUAUUAUGGUAUCAGUAGCCUUGCCAGAGCAGGAUAAAUCUAUUCUCUGCUCUGAGUAAAAGGUAGACUUUUUUUUUUUAGCUUGGGUCUUAAAAGUGGCUCCCGUUUUGUCAUCCUCAACAGGCGCACCAUCUUUGCUCUGUAGCAAAGCGAGAAACUGAACGCUUGAGGCCUGACGCAGUGUUCUCAGAAAUCAUUGCAAAGUUUUCCAUUUGGGAGUUCCAGCUGGCCUUCAAAAUACUUUUUCCUAAUUUUCAUUCUAUUCUUUUGAGUUAUUUUACCUCCCUGUCCUACAGCCUGUAGGCUUCUGACUCCAUUCUAGUAGGGAACAAUAGCCAAAACUUAGUAGCUUUGGGGUUUUCAGAGAUGAAUUGUUUUCAGGAAUAUUUCUAGUGGGAAAGUAUUGAUGAUGAAAUGUAGCUUCAGAAACCCAAGUAAAGAUGGGUGAUGUUUGGUAUAAUCACAGUCGCUGUGUUGUGCGCUUCUGUCCUUUGGAUUCUUCCAGUAGUUAGGUUACAUUCUGUGGCAUCAUGGCAUUGCAUUGCUACUCGUAGUGCAAGUCAGCGUAAAUAGAAAAUACCUUUUAAUGUUGAUGAAAUAAAUUGAAUGGAACCCCACAUGAGAUAAUAUACCAACAGUCAAACAAAAUUCAUGUCUCUGCAAGGGUAAAGAUCUUGGCUAGCUUGGUUAUGACGGUAACGACUUUAAAAACUGAUGUGGAAGUUUGGAGACUUAUUAGUUAAAUGACAUACAAUAUAAAAAGGAUUAGAGCAAGCAAAGUGUUUUUGAAAUUAAGUGAACCAAUCAUGGAUAGUAUUUGAUGCUCAGAUAUGGUACGUUGGUUUCUGGUCUCAUACUAUUAUUUUUUUUUAAUUGGUGUUGCUCUUUAAAGGCAGGUUAUAUUUGACUCUCCUUUUUCUUUGGCUUUUAUACUGACUUUCUGUUCUUCUGCAUGGAGGUCCAAGAUUUCUAAGGAGUUUUUUUUUUCUUAGUUGUGAUUAUAGUUUUAAGUGAUUGAGUUACAGCAGAAUUCAAAGACAUUUUAUCAGUAAGGUGGUUCAUUAGGUUUUAUUUUCAGCAAUAGCAGCUGAAGGCAGCAUUUUAUAGGACUUAGGAAAAUUGGGAUGACAUAAAAUGUGCUGUUUCUCUUUUGUGUGUAUUUGUAAAAGGGAAAUCAACUCCAAAUUAUGUCUAUGCAAGUAUACAAUAUUUGAUGUAACACAUGACUCUUUAAAAAAAGGAUCUAAUUGUUUCAUUCUGUUUUCAAAGUAACUUUGAAGGCUGGCUGUUCUGUUUUCCUGAAAAUAGGCAGUAAUCAAGCAUAUUAAUUAAAGUUGAACACCUUGUGACUCUUGGAAAAAGUUUCUAAAUAUCUUGCCUGCAGAACUUGGUUCAGAAGUUAGUGGAACACAGAAUAUUGAGUAACUCAUUCGCUGUCCAAUAAAUUAACCGGUUCUUGUUACGCUCUAUAACAUGCCUUAAGACAUUUUUCAUGUAUUCCAGUUUCUGGUACUUUCACAAGGAAGGACUCUCUUCAAGUAAACUGAUUCUGUGUUGGUAAGAUGGCAAUCCAUACUGAGGAAGAAAGAGCAAUGAUGUAUUUCGUGAAAAGUUUGAAAGUGACAGAUUAUCCAUUCUUAUCCAGUUAAAUUUAUACUGACAUAUUGUUACACAUCCAUUAGAGAGUUUUCCAUCCAGCACUUAACAGGUACUUGAGCUAAAUUUUAUCACAAUUUUCUUGUGAUCCUUUUCUUAUUUAGCCUUGGAUUUUUCUGCCUUCUACAAUCCUGUUUAGGAAAACAUCCUGUGUAAGGGUGCUAGCAUUGUUACAGCCGCUGGCACAGUACAUGAGCAGAGGCUCCAGUUGCUGGCAUCUCUUUCUAAUAAGAAAGAUUUAUGCUUGUUCUGAAGAGUUUAAAAAUGCCUGUCGUCUCUUGUCUUUCUCGAAUUGCCAACAUAUUGCAUGCUUCCCUGAUUUUUCAUAGAAUUGUGUGAGUCUAGAUAGUUUGUUAAACUUGGUGGGACUAAUUCUGUGUGAACUUAAAGCCUUUGGAAAAUCUUUCCUGUUUUUGAAUUAUCCUUUGGUGGUUUUUUAAUGUCUGAAAAUGUAGUAUCAAGUUUGAUGUUAAUGUGUAUUUGUGAAACAACUAGUCAAUCUGAUGGUAUGAAUUAAUUCCUUAGGCAGGGUUAAUCAAAGACAAUUAUUCGUCUUUAUGAAGUGUAGGACAUAAAUAUUUUUACAUGUCAAUUUUUAUUUUGUGGUGGUACUGGAAGGUCACAUCAUGAUUGAAUUUUGUUAUGCUGGUUGCUGUAAGAAUACAUGUGGUUCUUCACCCUCAGAGAGCCAACAUUUUGGGCCUGGAGACUGUUAUCCUUCUCUAAAUAAAUAAAUACAUAAAUAAAUGCUUGGGUUUUUUAAAAUCCCCAAACUGUUUGUAGAGCACUUUUUCUAUAAUUCUUAGGUCCUGUGUUGGCAGGGCAUGUAGGGAGUGGUGGAGGGAUUAUGGUGGUGACAAAGAAACUAUUACUUUUUUUUUCCCUGGAGCUGAAAAUAUUGAUAGUUCAACUUCUAGCUGAAACCAUAUAUUACUACCUUCUUUUUUGCUGAUGUAAAUUUAUCAUCCCUCUCUCUCGUGUGUUGCAACCUAAUGGCCUGUUUAAUGCAUCUAAAUGUAUGUCCUCUUCCCUGUCAAUCUCUCAACCUUUCUUUAUACUUUAAAAUUAAAGAUAACAUGUUCAAAAGCUGUGAUAAUGUUCAGUAAUUGUUCUACAUAAAGCAUAAUUUCUACUUUUGCCUUUAGAACAGAAGGGAAUGGCUGUAAUUGUCCUUUUCAGUCUGAUAGUGCUUUUUUCCUUAUAUCAGAAAUGUUAGUAACUAGCCAUACCGGUAAUAUUCAUAUAACCUGUAGUGUGUUAAUGCAGAAGUUUUUGAGAUGUGCUGAUGCCAUGUCAUUUGUAUAUAGACAUCAUUCUGUAUACAAUACAGUAUAACUGACCCUCAAAAGUAAUUUUUCUUCAUUUUUCUUCAUAGUUGUCAGGAAAGUAGUUUUGCACCUUGGUCAAAACUCAAAACCGACCAUCUGCUUUUUGUAUGGCAGCAGCACCUAUCAAGGUUUGGAUGUAACGGUCCUUGUAAGAUAUCACGAGAGCAUCUCCUUGCAAUUUGUUCACUCUUCCCUCAGACAAGGCGCCAGGACAGUGACUUGUUAUUUGGUAGACAGGUAUGGAGCUUCCUGUCUCAGCUAGACUGGCUAAUGCUAUACAAGGUUCCACAAAUGUGGAAAUGCAGUUAGUUUUGUUGCAAACAGAUAUUGUUUAGUAAAAAUUUACUUUCUAAAACACAAAAGCAAUAUACUUUGGUGUUGGAAAGGCACUUAAAUAUUUCGUAGAAUUGAUUUAUUUAGCUUUACUAAUCUGAAAAAUAUUAACAUUUUCUUAAGAAAAAUUUCCACAUUAGAUAUCUUUAUUUUAUAGUUUUCUGGUGAAGAUCUGCCUGAUCUCUCAUUUUUGCCUUUAAAAUUGCUUCCUUGAUUCCUGUCUCUUGCUGCUUCCUACCUGCAUCUUUCAACCACUCCUGUUCAUGACUGUGUAGUUGAUGCAUGUGCACCAUCAUGUGACCCAACUUCAGCCAGUGAUAUACUGGCGGGGAAGUUUGUCGAGAGGUCUAAAUUUAACUCUUUUUUUGGAUAAUUAAGGGUAACAUUCUUGGAGUAUCCUGUACUUUAAGAGCUAGUAUAUCAGGUCAAAUAGCGAUAGGCCCUCUAUGCAACCUAGCAUACGCCUGUGGCUUUAAUGAAUGCUUUGGGAAAGCAUGGAAAUAAUGCCUGGAACUGUAGAAUUUAAAAGGCUUUCAGUGUGUUUAAAAAUGCGUUUCAGAUAGGCCUAAAAGCAAGGUUAUCAAAGCUGUUAAAGUAAAUUCUUUUUAUAUAUCCUGCUGCUGUUUAUUUCUUGUUGCUGUUGUUAACACUUAAAGAGCAUUUUUAUGGUUUACAGUAAAGUGUGCACAGUAAGCAAAAAUGACCAUGAAAUUCUAACAAAGGAACAAAGUGAAUCAAAAUAUUGUGUUCUCUUUCAAUUGUAUUAAACUUAAGUUGUAUUAGUAUCUGAAGUUAUUUACAAUAGCAGGUAAUAAAUGUUUAAAUAAAAUCAUUAUUUAGAAGGUGAGUUUUUCUUUCCUCUGAGUUAUUGUGGCAGAGUUCAUAUAUUACCACACAGCAUAGAUAAACUGUUAUGGUAUUUCAUGCUUCAGAACCAAGGGAUGUUACUGAAUUAAUAUAAGCCAAGUUUAUUUUGCGAUUCAGCUUGUUUUGUUGGGUAAUCAGGGUUUUAUAAAACAUUUCAAGUUUUUUUUGUUUUACAUUUGGAUUGUUUCAGUGAUUUAUUUUUUUUUUAAUUAGCAAUGCUGUGCUGUACCAUAUUAAAUCACUUCUUCACGCAUGAAAGAAAAGGUGUAAACUUGAAUACAAAUUCCAAACGGAGAUCCUUACCAGAGCAAAAUUAGAAGAACAAAAUAAAACCGCAAUACUAAAGCAGAGGCUCUCAAACUUACUCUGCUCAUGUUUGAUCACUGGCACUGAUAAUUAAAGACUGUUGGGGCUAUGAUGUUAAUUUCCCUGGUUUUAUAGGUAUCUCUUGGAGUAGGACCUCUAUCCUAUGUUCAUCAACCUGUGAAACACCUGAAACCAGGACGCAACUCUGCUUCCUGCCUCGCUUACUAGUUUAUCAGCCUCCACUUCAAUAUGUCCUGUUCUCAUAUACCUAAAUCUACUCGUGUACAGCAGCCCCAAACUUCCAAAACUGCUCUCAAAAUAGUGCUCGCUAAAAAGAUGUUUAAAGUGAAAUGAAGGUGUGAUACUGGGUACAGGGGUAGCUGGGAAGUACUGUAAUGUGCUAUGCUUGGGAAUGAUGUAUGACAAGUAACUGGUCCCACAAACCCUUCUGCAGAUAAGUAAUCCUAUCAAAGGCAGUUGAGUGCAUUUGAUUAAGGAUUACAUGUGAUUAGUGGUCUGCAAGGCUAAGAGUGCGACCCGUAUCAUUAAUGAGUAUUCACAUAUCAAUGCUUCUUUGAGCAGGAGGUUGAACCUCUGAGGUCUGUUCCAACUAGAAUGAUUUUAUUAUUAUCAGACUUGUAUUAUGCAAAUAGAUAUUUCACUUAUAAAAAACAUAUUAAUUGAAUUAGGUAAACCCUAGGAAAUUGUUACGGUUAUUUUACCUAUUGCAUCAUGUUGUAGCAUGGAGUUGCAAAUUUGACCCAAGUGUAAGAUUUAAAACAGUAAGAGAAAUAACACCCAUGACUUUUUGUCUGUUGCAUUGAAUUCCUUGUAUACAGUUUUAUAUCCGAUUGAAUUCCUUGUGUAGGAAUCCCUUCCUAGCAUACACUUAACUUGAUUCCAAUUCUGGAACUAGUCCAGAGUAGAGUGCCUGAAUAUUUGAUGCUUUAUGUGUGGUUGAGCUGUGUGAAUGGUCUUAAGCUUACUCUGCCUAUUUCAGGUACUGCUAGCACUGAGCUAGGAAGGAGCCGAGUGAUUUCUUUAUGCUACUUUUCACCACAAAGUUGUUGUGGACAUUUUAUUCUUUCCAGAUAAUGUUGAUGAGACAUUAUUUGCUUAUUGGAUUAGAGAAUCAAAAGAUUGAGUGCUAGAAUAAAGUGCUAAAGACCCCUAAGUCACGAGGACUCGAUGCGAUUCAUUCAUUCAGUGGUUCUAAAGGAUGAAGCGGCUGAUGUGCUAAGAAGAGUGCAUUUCAUUAGGCUGAGAAGCUGUGCCAGAAGACCAGAAGCUAUCAAGUGUUGUACGUACUGUACUUCUAAACUGAAAGCAAGGAGCAGAUCUGGAAUUUGCAGGCCAAGGAUUCAUAUUUUAAUGCUAUGUAAGUAGAUUUGAAUAUUGAAUGGAUAGUCAAGUCGUUCUGUGAGCACAAGGCCUAAGAGCACCUAGCUUCCUAUGCAGUUGUAUUUUAGAUGUAAUGAAAAGUAGCAGCUGUAGCUGGGGUAUUUAUAACGUGAGUCUGCUACGUAUGUGCUUGUUUUCUAAUAACAUGGGCAUAUGCUGCAGCCUCUCCUUCAGUUUGGGCAGUUUAUGGGUUGGUCUUCUCUAUCCAUCAGCCCAGUACUUGGACUUCUGAAGUCUCUGAAUUCUUAUUAAACUGCAAAUGACUUUUGAAUUUUCAUUUUUGACAAAACUGUUUGAAAUCAGGAAGUGGAUUCAAAAGUUAGAAAGGGUCAGGCAUAACCUAGGCAUUCACAUUAAACAGCAUUAAUCUCUCUGUCUUUGGUUGUCUAAACAAUGACCUCAGUUGGUUCUGUCAUUAGUGGAAGAGAGAUGCACCCAUAUAUACAUUUGUAUGCAUAGUUGGUCCCACCUUCUGAAAUUCUGAAAUUUACAACGUAUGGCCUCUGGCAGGAAACUGUAACCCAAGCAAUUUUGGUGUCGUCCUACAGGCACUGAUUCUUGGUGCAGUUGUGGGGAUGGUGAGCUGUGAUGCAGAGAUGGAAAGGAAAGAUAAAGUAGUCCAAGAAUACCCUAUGCUGCUUUCAGUAGCAAAGCUGUGAUCUACCUUGAAAUUUACAGUAGUUUCUGAAGUGCUGACAUUUGUAGUGGCAAUUAGCUGUGUGCUCGUUUCUUCAUUUUUCCCUCCUGUUGUAUUAGCACAGUCAUUUGUGUCAUCAUGCAUUGACUUGGAUCAGAAGAUUGAUCCUGACUUCAAGAGGAGUCUAUGACAAUCCGCAAUUUUUAGCCCAAGCUAGUUCCUCGGUAUGGUACAUUGAGUGGCUCCACCAGCAGGUACAUCUGCACAAGGAUGAGAAUUAGCAGCAGGAGGGUCAUCUGUCAUGUCUGAACUGGCACUCUUACCAAAAUACAUGUUCAUCAAAUUAUGCUUCUAGAAUCUGUCUUGGAAGUCAUUAAUCUUGUCCUCAAAUAAGCAUCCAAAGCAACAAACAUUCUGUAAAAUCAGAGAAAAUUGUGGGGAACUCGAGGGCAAUCUUCUACGGCUGGAUAUAUUAGCAUAACAACGGUAGAUGUCAUUCAGUAGCUGCAGUCACAGAAUAAUUCACAGUGCAAGGCAUAACUUGAACUACUUGAAAAUUCUAAAUUACAAGUAAAUGUUCUGCAAAAAUACAUGUAUCAUUCUAGAUGCCCUGGUGAAAACUUCUUUGUAGUGUGCCCACUGUAAAAGAAACAGCCCUAAAAUUUAUUGAAAUUGUGUUCCACAGCAGUGUUAAAUGGAAGUUCUUUACCUGGAUGUUUCUGCUCAAAUGAACUGUCCAUCUGGUUUAAUUAAGCCAUUUAUUCUCACUUUAUCAAUCAGUGCAUAUACAUAUCCUCUACGUGUUUUUAAAUGUUAUUGAUAAAUAACAAGUCCUUGAAAACUAAGUAAAGUAUUUUCAGGAGAGUUUACACAAAAUAAAGCCUCCGUAUUUCUUGCUUUCAGUUCAAUUUCUUCAGGUUAUCUGUAAAUUUUCAAUAAUGGCAAUACCUUCAUUCUGCCAUUUGGAGGAGCCUGUGCCACAGAAUAAUGAUCGGAGGAAAGCUCACUUAUUUGCAAGGAAGAGUCUUCAUUUGGGAAAUAGUACCGAUGUAGCUAAGAGGUGCUUUGUCAAGUUCAGCAGAACUAUUAUUGUUCCUAGCACAACCUCCCGUACAUGGACAAAAUUGGGUUUUCCUCAAAGAACAGAGUCCUGUAUCUGAAGAGUAUGAAGAAACCAUUUUGGUAGGUGCGGGUUGCUUGUCAGAAAUCUCUUCCAAAGCUUGACUGCAAAAUGAGCAGGGUACUAAUGAUGGAUAUGAAUGGAUAUCUUAAGAAUAACAGUGGAUAUGGCAUCUUUGAAAGCAGUGGAUUCUGGUAAGAAUUUGCAUGUAAUUUGUUAAAUAGCACGUGAUAGUUCUUAGUAAGCAUGUUUGUAUAUCUCUCUGAAGGUUUGCCUGAUCAUUUAAUGAAAAUUUAUUCUAAAAUGUGAAAAGUGGGAGGAUUGCUCUAUAUCAUGCAGUAUUUUAAAUUCUGAAACAGUGUACAACAACUUUAGUUUACUUAGCAGUGACUUCUUGCACAUAAAACCAGUUAAAGUAUCUUUGUAGAAAAGUAAGUUAUUUUACAGAAGUAGUUAGUGGCCACUUAUGGCUCACUGUUAGCCUGUUUUUCUGAAUAUUUAGAACUAAAUAUUUUUGAACUGUCCUUUAAAAAAAACAGCUCAGAGCAUACUCAGAGAAUGUUAUAAGUAACCUCUGGUGGCAUAUUUCACCACUACACAUAGAACUGUUCUAACAGGCAUUGCAUCCAACUUUGCAGGAGAUAUGAAACGCUUAUGUAAUUAUUGACAAAUUACUCAUAGCCGGAAACUUUUAAUCCUCGUAUAGGUUUAAAAAAAAAAGUAUAAUGGCAGCAUGCUAAGUUACUGUACUGGUUCUACUUUGUUGGAAGUUUCACAGUAUUUAAAUAAUGUACACAAUUAGCAAAUGGAAGUAGAAACACCAUAGAAGUGGUACUCUAAUUACAGGGUAGUAGAAGUGGUUCCUUUUAACUUGGUCUUUGAAAUAGCUUAGGCCAACAACUCCUUAAGCAAAAAUUCUUGUUUUCACCAAAACCAAUUAUGUUCUUAUCAGUGUAUACUGAUACACUGAAAUUCACAAAUAAUUUGGGCCUUUGUUUUUUCUUCCUACUCUCUGAAUCCCACUGGUGGUUGGUAUUGCAGUAGAACUGUUCUGAUAACAGCUGGCAGUUCUUAAAGCUUCUUCUUAAAGGUAUUUUGAGGUCCUGGGUACAUAUGCACUAUGUAGAAAUGAACAGCACAGCGAUUUGAGCGUUCUUCUUAUGAAUUAGUUUCAUAGCUGAAGUAGCUGUUCCAGCAGCAUGCUACUUCUGGUGAAAUUAGGAUUUUAACAGACCUCAAGAACUCUUCAUUUUCUCAAGCCAUGCUAAAAGCUGUGGUGGCUCAAGAGCUGAUUCACAAGCAGAUUAGGCAUUAAUUGGAUGGACGAUGUCUGUCAGAGGGUUGGUGGUUAAUGUCCGAGAGUAGUAACAGCAUUCGAUCCACUGUGUGCCUGUCAGAGCCCUUGGCCCCGUUGAGAGGCAAGGAUAAGGAGCUCAGUUGCGUUGUGCUAACACAGAUACCUCCUGUGGGCACCUGAUGAGAACAGCAAAACUGUAGUUUACCCUGGGUAGGGAGGAAUACCAGCCUGGCUGACAGAAUCCAGUUGCACUGUACUCUGUUCCACAGCAUAGACAUGUGCCAUAACUUAACUGGUACCUAAGGCAGCAUUAAUUAAAACAGACUACCCUCACUACGGUAUUGGGAGAAGAAGUACGGAAAAUGCCUGGUAGAUGAAUUCCUGAGAGAUCUGUGGCCAGACUCCAAAGGCCUGAUAUAAACGCACAAGUUAGACCUGAAAAGAUUAACCUAAGCAGCCUCCUCAUUUGAAAUUAGAUUGGUAUGGAAGUGACUAAUAGUGAGUUCUAUUUGAUAUCCCUUUCUGCAACACUCAGCUUCUCAUUUUUACUUUCUAGGUGGGUGGGAGAUAAAAUCUGGCCUGCAAAGUGCUAUGCACUCAUUCCAGUGCCAAAAUGCAAAACACAUCAGCAACUAUAAUGUAAGGGCAUACUAGGUUCCUCUAGCUGCACUGGACAAAUAAAUACCCAUGCUAGAUACAUUAAUAUAAGCUUAUAAAUCUGCUUAGGUGUAUUUAUAAGUAGUUUUUUAAACUACUGUGCUUCUGUAGGCUAUUGUAGUAACUUGGGAUGAGGAAGUUAGGCUGCUCACACCUUUUUUUGCCGGGCUAAUCUUUCACUCUGAUUCAUUGCAUGGCAAGUGUUUGAUUAUUUAUUUGAUCUGUUUAUAUUUUAAACCAGCUUUUGGUGGGGGGAGGGAGGGGUGAGCUCUUAGUUUUAAAGCCCCUCAAAUUCUAAGGACAAUUUCAAUCAAGAAAAAACUUGUUUGCCGUUUCCAUGUCGCAGAGGUAUCUUGCCUGUAGUCACAGUAGUUAUAAAAAUCAAGGAUGGCAUGUCUUUUUCUGUUGAUCUUUCCUAAGGUGACUGUACUGACUAGUAUUGUUUCAAAUAAAACCAGU